UACAGAGGUCUCAAGCGUUGUUCGGAUUCAUUGGGCGUUAAAGGGGUGCGUAGGCGGCGCGGUAAGUCGGGUGUGAAAUCUCGGAGCUUAACUCCGAAACUGCAUUCGAUACUGCCGUGCUUGAGGACUGGAGAGGAGACUGGAAUUUACGGUGUAGCGGUGAAAUGCGUAGAUAUCGUAAGGAAGACCAGUGGCGAAGGCGGGUCUCUGGACAGUUCCUGACGCUGAGGCACGAAGGUCAGGGGGAGCAAAACGGG
rnacentral:rRNA from 1 species